rnacentral:rRNA from 1 species
CAAUGGACGAAAGUCUGACGGAGCAACGCCGCGUGAGUGAUGAAGGCUUUCGGGUCGUAAAACUCUGUUGUUAGGGAAGAACAAGUACAAGAGUAACUGCUUGUACCUUGACGGUACCUAACCAGAAAGCCACGGCUAACUACGUGCCAGCAGCCGCGGUAAUACGUAGGUGGCAAGCGUUAUCCGGAAUUAUUGGGCGUAAAGCGCGCGCAGGCGGUUUCUUAAGUCUGAUGUGAAAGCCCACGGCUCAACCGUGGAGGGUCAUUGGAAACUGGGGAACUUGAGUGCAGAAGAGAAAAGCGGAAUUCCACGUGUAGCGGUGAAAUGCGUAGAGAUGUGGAGGAACACCAGUGGCGAAGGCGGCUUUUUGGUCUGUAACUGACGCUGAGGCGCGAAAGCGUGGGGAGCAAACAGGAUUAGAUACCCUGGUAGUCCACGCCGUAAACGGUGAGUGCUAAGUGUUAGAGGGUUUCCGCCCUUUAGUGCUGCAGCUAACGCAUUAAGCACUCCGCCUGGGGAGUA